GUGAUUUUUCAAAAAACCAAGUCCAAAGCUGAGUUUAUAGCAGAGCUAAAUUCAGCUGUUUGCAGUGGGCAGAACUGUGCAGAAAUCAGGAAGUUCUGAGUGUUGUUGAAGCAGAAACUCUUUUUCAAACCACAGAAUCUAAAGGGAAAUUAAAGGGAGCCUGGGGCUUUCAACAAGAAAUUUUUCUUUUUACAUAAUGAGAGUUUCUCAUAGCAAUGCAGAAGUUUCAGCAGGGAGAUGACACCUCACCAGCAGGACCCAGAGCACUGGGAAUGCCGGGGAUGCUCAGGAGCCUUGCAGGCAGGAAUUUGCCAGGCAGUUACUAAAACAUCGUGCCUGCCAAGCGCAGGAGGAUUAUUUCGGCAUCAGCUCCUAUUAACUGCUCCACGCUCAGAUCACCAUGUUUGAGCUGCGUCUGGAGCAGCUCGAGAGCGGCCGCAGCCGAUCGUUCGGCUCUGGCUGCUCUGCUGCCUCGCUUUCCUUGCAGCCCAGCUCACUGCUUUGCACUUCCGAUCCCUGCAGAAGGCAAAAAUAUCACGCAAAUGCUGUUUCACUGUAUUAAUGCCCCGGUGUGCGCUGACAUACUGCAGACCUUGCGCAGGAAACACAGAAUGACCCCAGGGCGCGCUGGGAAACAGGAUUGAGGAUCAACCUUCUCCACCAAUGGAGGUUCUUGCCCUUUAAGAAAAAGCCUGCAGUAAUUUUCCAUUACCCUGCACAGUCUUGUCUACGUGGCAAGAAUUGUUUGUGGAGGCUGGAGCAUCACGGGUGAGGCGCAAGCUCCAAUCCGGCUGCCGUUGCUUGGCUACGCGCUCGGCAUGCCGGCAGCACGCCAGGCUCCUGGGAAGCACCUUUGUUCCCCGAGAAGGGAUUUGAGUUGUGUUUUCAUGCCGAAAGCUGGGGACAAAUGCUGAUUUUCUCAAGCAGCCUGGCAGAGCUGGGCUUUCCAAACAGCACGAGCCAGCCAAAAUGUUCAGUGAAAAUACGAAUAAUAAUAUGUGUGGAGUCCAUCUCCUGUGAUGGUUUCUCUUCCUUUGCACAAGGAAAUAUAAAGAGCUCAUGAUGUUUGUUUGCUGUUGCACUGAUCCUAACCGGCACUUAAUCAAGGCAGCGUGUUGAAUUGGGCAGAAAUACUGUCAGCAAAAUCCUCCCCCGCUCUUGCUGUUUCUGUCUAAUAAACCAGACGGAUUGCUGUUGUUCUGCA
rnacentral:lncRNA from 1 species